UGGGGUGUGACUCAGUGGUAGAGUACUCGCCUAGCAUGCAUGAAGCACUAGGUUCAAUCCUCAGCACCACAU
rfam:Ictidomys tridecemlineatus contig020647, whole genome shotgun sequence.